rnacentral:rRNA from 1 species
AGAACGAACGCUGGCGGCAUGCCUAAUACAUGCAAGUCGAACGAACUCUUCGGAGUUAGUGGCGCACGGGUGCGUAACGCGUGGGAAUCUGCCCCUUGGUUCGGAAUAACAGUUGGAGACGACUGCUAAUACCGGAUGAUGACGAAAGUCCAAAGAUUUAUCGCCAAGGGAUGAGCCCGCGUAGGAUUAGCUAGUUGGUGAGGUAAUGGCUCACCAAGGCGACGAUCCGUAGCUGGUCUGAGAGGAUGAUCAGCCACACUGGAACUGAGACACGGUCCAGACUCCGUACGGGAGGCAGCAGUGGGAAUAUGACAAUGGGCGCAAGCCUGAUCCAGCCAGUACCGCGUGGGUGAAGACGGCCUUGGUUGUAAAGUCCCUUUUAGGUUAGGGUAAAGAAAAGUAC